AUUGAACGCUGGCGGCAGGCCUAACACAUGCAAGUCGAGCGGAUGAAGGGAGCUUGCUCCUGGAUUCAGCGGCGGACGGGUGAGUAAUGCCUAGGAAUCUGCCUGGUAGUGGGGGAUAACGUCCGGAAACGGGCGCUAAUACCGCAUACGUCCUGAGGGAGAAAGUGGGGGAUCUUCGGACCUCACGCUAUCAGAUGAGCCUAGGUCGGAUUAGCUAGUUGGUGGGGUAAAGGCCUACCAAGGCGACGAUCCGUAACUGGUCUGAGAGGAUGAUCAGUCAGAGUGGAAGUGAGAUGAGGUCAAGACGACUACGGGAGGCAGCAGUGGGGAAUAGUGGACAAGGGGCGAAAGCAUGAUCCAGCCAUGCCGGGGGUGAGGAGAAGGACUUCGGAUUGUAAAGGACGUUAAGUGGGGAGGAAGGGAAGGAAGUUAAUACCUUGCUGUUGGGACGUUACCAACAGAAUAAGCACCGGCGAACGUCGUG
rnacentral:rRNA from 1 species